AUGCCGAAGAGAUCAUCCACGGUCAGAGGCUCCACACGGACAUCCAUAUCGAGCCCCCCCAAUGAUGAAGGAGAAAAGCUCGUCAUCCUUGAUGGGUUUUCCAGCUGCAACGAGCUCAUCAGAGAGGGCUCGCAUGUGACCAAAGGAUGCGACUUCAACGAGAACUUCCUUGGAGAAGUUUUGGGGGAGAUAGGCAACGAUCUGCUAGUCCUGGACAAGCCAGGGAUUGUAGCCGGGGUUGGGAACGAUCUGUUCUUUCCCGUCGGAACUCUUGGUUAUGAUGGUCUGGUUGAGGCCAUGGGAAGAGACUUGGGUGGAGGAGGACAUUGCGGAUCAAGGCGGAAGAUGAAGGAUGAUGAUUGUUGCGAUGGUGAGGGGCUUGCUAGAUGUGAUGGAAGAAGGAGGCUCUGUAUACCAUGUCAAGAUGGGGAGCAUUUUAAGGGUAUUGGCAAAGAUUCUAUAAUAUUGAGUUGGUUGAACCAUUGCCGCGGAAACCUGAAAUUCAAUUUCCAUAAAUACAUGUUGUGGGUUUUAGAGUCUGAUUUUAAGAAGGUGGUUGGGAUAAGCUGGUACUUGUGGUUCUUUGUGGUGAUAUUUCUGUUGCUGAAUGUUAAUGGGUGGCACACAUACCUUUGGAUUGCGUUCAUUCCCCUCACUCUUCUUCUAGCCAUGUGCACCAAGUUGGGGCAUGUCAUAGCUCAAUUAGCCCAGGAUGUAGCUGAGAAGCACUCCGCGGUUGAGGGCGAUUUGAUCGUGAAGCCAUCGGAUGACCACUUCUGGUUCGGCCGGCCGAGGGUCGUCUUGUUCCUGAUCCACUUCAUCGUCUUCCAGAAUGCCUUUGAGAUUGCAUUCUUCUUCUGGAUACUGAUGGGGAGCUUCUACAAGAAGAUCUUCAAUGAGCAUGUGCAACCGGGUGUCCUGGGUUGGGCUCAGAAGGCUCAGAUGAAGAAGGAAUUCAAGAAUAGCAAUGGCGCGGCAAAAUCGACGAGCACCGUCAGUUUAGCUGGGCCUUCUACUAAGAUUGAAAUGACGAAACGACCAGCGCGGGAAGGCAACGAUGCUGCCGUAAAACAUUGCGGUCAUAAGUCGCCAUCCUUCUAUGGCCUAACCGUCUGCUCCCUCCCCCAUGUAAGGUGGGUGUUACAGUGCGCCACCAUUCCCGGCUAUCCCUCCAUCCCUAAUAUGAUCUUCAUCAUCGUCAGCAUCCACCCCUACUUUCCCCCUCCCGAGCACCCAAACUCACCAAUCUCUUGUUGA
rnacentral:rRNA from 1 species